rnacentral:rRNA from 1 species
AGUGAACGCUGGCGGUAGGCCUAACACAUGCAAGUCGAACGGCAGCACAGUAAGAGCUUGCUCUUACGGGUGGCGAGUGGCGGACGGGUGAGGAAUACAUCGGAAUCUACUUUUUCGUGGGGGAUAACGUAGGGAAACUUACGCUAAUACCGCAUACGACCUACGGGUGAAAGCAGGGGAUCUUCGGACCUUGCGCGAUUGAAUGAGCCGAUGUCGGAUUAGCUAGUUGGCGGGGUAAAGGCCCACCAAGGCGACGAUCCGUAGCUGGUCUGAGAGGAUGAUCAGGCACACUGGAACUGAGACACGGUCCAGACUCCUACGGGAGGCAGCAGUGGGGAAUAUUGGACAAUGGGCGCAAGCCUGAUCCAGCCAUACCGCGUGGGUGAAGAAGGCCUUCGGGUUGUAAAGCCCUUUUGUUGGGAAAGAAAAGCAGCAGGUUAAUACCCCGCUGUUCUGACGUUACCCAAAGAAUAAGCACCGGCUAACUUCGUG